rnacentral:rRNA from 1 species
UACGUAGGGUGCGAGCGUUAAUCGGAAUUACUGGGCGUAAAGCGUGCGCAGGCGGUUACCUAAGACAGAUGUGAAAUCCCCGGGCUUAACCUGGGAACUGCGUUUGUGACUGUGUGACUAGAGUACGGCAGAGGGGGGUGGAAUUCCUGGUGUAGCAGUGAAAUGCGUAGAUAUCAGGAGGAAUAUCGAUGGCGAAGGCAGCCCCCUGGGCCUGUACUGACGCUCAUGCACGAAAGCGUGGGGAGCAAACAGG